rnacentral:rRNA from 1 species
GACGAACGCUGGCGGCGUGCUUAACACAUGCAAGUCGAACGGAAAGGCCUGCUUUCCCUUGUGGAUUGCGGGUACUCGAGUGGCGAACGGGUGAGUAACACGUGAGUGAUCUGCCCCCAACUUGGGUAUAAGCCUGGGAAACUGGGUCUAAUUCCCGAUAGGACUGCAGGGUGGUGCCUGUGGUGGAAAACGAUUUUCUAGUGGUUGGGGAUGAGCUCGCGGCCUAUCAGCUUGUUGGUGGGGUAAUGGCCUACCAAGGCGGCGACGGGUAGCCGGCCUGAGAGGGUGGACGGCCAAAUUGGGACUGAGAUACGGCCCAGACUCAUACGGGAGACAGCAGUGGGGAAUAUGGCAAAAUGGGCGGAAGCCUGAUGCAGCGACGCCGCGUGGGGGAUGACGGCCUUCGGGUUGUAAACUCCUUUCGACCGCGAGGAAGCCACCUGGUUGGAAGGGUGGUGACGGUAGUGGUAGAAGAAGCACCGGCUAACUACGUG